CCUACGGGGGGCUGCAGUAGGGAAUAUUGCUCAAUGGGGGAAACCCUGAAGCAGCCACGCCGCGUGGAGGAUGACGGUUUUCGGAUUGUAAACUCCUUUUGUUAGAGAAGAUAAUGACGUUAUCUAACGAAUAAGCACCGGCUAACUCCGUGCCAGCAGCCGCGAUAAUACGGAAGGUGCAAGCGUUACUCGGAAUCACUGGGCGUAAAGAGUGCGUAGGCGGGAUAGCAAGUCAGAUGUGAACUCCUACGGCUUAAACAUAGAAGUGCAUUUGAAACUGUUAUUCUAGAGUAUGGGAGAGGUAGGUGGAAUUCGUGGGGUAGGGGUAAAAUCCGUAGAGAUCAAGAGGAAUACUCAUUGCGAAGGCGACCUGCUAGAACAUAACUGACGCUGAUGCGCGAAAGCGUGGGGAGCAAACAGGAUUAGAUACCCGUGUAGUC
rnacentral:rRNA from 1 species